rnacentral:ncRNA from 1 species
CCUAAGGCUUUUCUUAAAGCCAUUUACUGAUUAAAAGAAAGGCUA